rnacentral:lncRNA from 1 species
CCGCACACCCGCACGGCGGACCGCACGGGCGUGCAAGGCUGAAUAAUCAGACACUCAAGUCACAGCAUCAGAUCACAAUAUCAAUACUAAAAAUCUAUCAUUUAUGAUAAUCAAAUCAAUAAUUCAAUUUCAAAUGUCUCAAAUAAAGUUGAUAACAUUUAUUUACAAGAUCAAUUACUUAUGACAAAAUGAAUCUAAAUCUAUCUAUAUCCAGUGUCAUAAGUCCUCUCCUCCCGAAUCUCCCAUCAAUCAU